CAGCAGCCGCGGGAAUACGUAGGGUGCGAGCGUUAAUCGGAAUUACUGGGCGUAAAGGGUGCGUAGGCGGCUUGACAAGUCUUGUGUGAAAUCUAUGGGCUCAACCCAUAGUCUGCACGGGAAACUGUCGGGCUUGAGAAUGGGAGAGGUGAGUGGAAUUUCCGGUGUAGCGGUGAAAUGCGUAGAUAUCGGAAGGAACACCUGUGGCGAAAGCGGCUCACUGGACCAUUUCUGACGCUGAUGCACGAAAGCUAGGGGAGCAAACAGGAUUAGAUACCCGCGUAGUCCCUGUCUCUUAUAC
rnacentral:rRNA from 1 species